CAGCAGCCGCGGUAAUACGUAGGUCCCGAGCGUUGUCCGGAUUUAUUGGGCGUAAAGCGAGCGCAGGCGGUUAGAUAAGUCUGAAGUUAAAGGCUGUGGCUUAACCAUAGUACGCUUUGGAAACUGUUUAACUUGAGUGCAAGAGGGGAGAGUGGAAUUCCAUGUGUAGCGGUGAAAUGCGUAGAUAUAUGGAGGAACACCGGUGGCGAAAGCGGCUCUCUGGCUUGUAACUGACGCUGAGGCUCGAAAGCGUGGGGAGCAAACAGGAUUAGAUACCCGUGUAGUCCCUGUCUCUUAUACC
rnacentral:rRNA from 1 species